rnacentral:lncRNA from 1 species
CAGGGUUCCUGCAGGAUAAAGGAUGAAGGUGUGCGGACUUGCACCUGUGUCCCUGCAGAAGCGCUGGUGGGAAACCAGGCUGGGUGCUGGGUUCCACGGUCACCGUGUUCACUGACACCAGCACUGUGUGAAGAGUACGUGAAGAUGGUCCACACGUGGGCUCGGUGGGCUCAUGGAGGGGUGAAGUCAUUUUCUUUCUCUCCAGCUUCCUGCUCUGCCCAGACCCCUCUCAUGGUGGGGAGCCCAGGGCCUACCACUGAGCUGCCCCCAACCCCAACCCUUUCUCUUUUUGCUUUUUGUCCAAACCGGAUAUGGGGUAAUUUACAAAAAUAUAUACACAAUACUAGAAUUUUUAUAAACAGUGUUGGUGUGUAAGGAAAAUAAGUAAGAAAAAUAAGAUAAGGCCCAUGUGAGUUCGGAUGCAAUGUCCUGACCCUGUGAGCUUGUCAGGGAACGCUGUGUGCUUUGAAAUAGCCCACAACAGCAUUGACAGUGACCGAAGAACAAGAAAUGAGGCCUUCAGAAGAAAUCCAGUGGGUCCCGCUCAUUUCCGGGGCUAAGUCCUCGGGUCUCCUGGGAACCACAGUCGGGCUGGCGCUGUGAUCCAGUGAAAUAGUCUGUCCAGGAGAGGAGUGAGGGGUCUGGGACAAAUCCAGAUGGGCCAGGGCACAGCCCACGUGUCCAUCGUGUCCUGCCUGCACCCCAGUCCAGAGCUGCCCGGCCGGGAGACUGUGGCCCGAGCCCCAGCUCCGCAGAGAGGCCCAGGGGGGUGGUACAAGGGUACUUGGGCCUCUGACCAGGGCUGGCAGGGCCCUGGGACUAAUGCUGGCCUGGAAGGGGCAGCCACACUGGCUGGGAACGUCUCUGACCAGGGGGUGAAGGGCACCCUGCGGCAGGUGGGAGGGAGGGACUUCAGCGAGGGAGCAGGCAGCUGGUACCCGUGGCGAAGCACAGGGCCAGCUGUGUCUGCUGGUGCGGUUGAUUCCAAACACGUUUUAGAGUGCGAAGGAAAAGUAAGCGCAGCUUGGCUUUCAGGCAGUGCUUUCCCUCCUUGGCCUGAGCCUGAAGCUCUGUUCUCAGGCGUGUGUUCUCCGUGGAAGAACAGAGCCAUUCCGUCCCCACCCACUGAGACGGAAAGUUUCUCUUUCUUCCUUGCCCGGAGGGAGCCUAGUAGAGGGGGAGAGGAAGAAUGGCGCUGGCAUUCAACAGCUGGGAAGCCACAAGCAAGUACUGAAUGGUACCAUGCCUCAGUUUCCUCAUCUGUAAAGGGACACACAGUGGAUUUUACAAGUUGUCUAUGAGGGAUAGGUAAGGCAGCACUGCAAUUUGGAAUUAAAGGACCAUGUAUUAAAGGCUCGGACCCCAGCCCAUGGUGCUAUUGGGAGGU